rnacentral:lncRNA from 1 species
UUGAGAGAGGUCAGCGUGAGCCCCUUGCCUCACACCGGCCCCUCCCACGCUGAGAGAGGUCAGUGUGAGCCCUUGCCUCACACCGGCCCCUCCCACGCGGACAGAGGUCAGCGUGAGCCCCUUGCCUCACACCGGCCCCUCCCACGCUGAGAGAGGUCAGUGUGAGCCCUUGCCUCACCCCGGCCCCUCCCACGUGGACAGAGGUCAGCGUGAGCCCCUUGUCUCACACCGGCCCCUCCCACGCUGAGAGAGGUCAGUGUGACCCCUUGCCUCACACCGGCCCCUCCCACGCGGACAGAGGUCAGCCCGAGCCCCUUGUCUCACACCGGCCCCUCCCAUGCUGAGAGAGGUCAGCGUGAGCCCCUUGUCUCACACCGGCCCCUCCCACGCUGAGAGAGGUCAGCCCGAGCCCCUUGCCUCACACCGGCCCCUCCCACGCUGAGAGAGGUGUGAGCCCCUUGUCUCACACCGGCCCCUCCCACGCGGACAGAGGUCAGCGUGAGCCCCUUGCCUCACCCCGGCCCCUCCCACGCUGAGAGAGGUCAGCGUGAGCCCCUUGCCUCACCCCGGCCCCUCCCACGCUGAGAGAGGUCAGUGUGAGCCCUUGCCUCACACCGGCCCCUCCCACGCGGACAGAGGUCAGC